ACAGAUCGUUCAGAGUUUGAUCCUGGCUCAGGACGAACGCUGGCGGCGUGCUUAACACAUGCAAGUCGAACGAUGAAAGAGAAUCCGAUCUCUUCGGAGAGAAGAAUCUCUGGAUUAGUGGCGGACGGGUGAGUAACGCGUGAGCAAUCUGCCUUACACAAAGGGAUAGCCUCGGGAAACCGGGAUUAAUACCAUAUGAUAUCUAUUCACCGCAUGGUUUAUAGAUUAAAGAAUUUCGGUGUAAGAUGAGCUCGCGUCCCAUUAAUUAGUUGGUGAGGGUAACGGCCCACCAAGAUAGCGAUGGGUAGCCGAUCUAAGAGGAUGACCGGCCACAUUGGAACUGAGAAACGGUCCAA
rnacentral:rRNA from 1 species